UGCAUGUCUCAGUACAAGCCGUUCUAAGGCGAAACCGCGGAUGGCUCAUUAAACCAGUUAUAAUUUACUGGAUGUAGUAACUUAUCACUAGUUGGAUAACUGUGGUAAUUCUAGAGCUAAUACAUGCAACUAAAGCUCCGACCCUGUCCUUUACGGAGGCGGGGGAAGGGCGCAUUUAUUAGAUCACAAAACCAAUCGGACUUCGGUCCGUUUAAACUUUCAAAAAUUUUUUGUGAUGACUCUGGAUAACCCAGCCGAGCGCUAAGGUCUCCGAACCGGCGCCGUAUCCUUCGAGUGUCUGCCUUAUCAGCUGUCGAUUGUAGGCUAUUCGCCUACGCUGGCUGUAACGGGUAACGGGGAAUCAGGGUUCGAUUCCGGAGAGGGAGCCUGAGAAACGGCUACCACAUCUAAGGAAGGCAGCAGGCACGCAAAUUACCCACUCCCGGCUCGGGGAGGUAGUGACGAAAAAUAACGAUGUGGGACUCAUCCGAGGCCUCACAAUCGGAAUGAGUAUACUUUAAAUCCUUGUACGAGGAUCCAUUGGAGGGCAAGUCUGGUGCCAGCAGCCGCGGUAAUUCCAGCUCCAAUAGCGUAUAUUAAAGUUGCUGCGGUUAAAAAGCUCGUAGUUGAGUUUCAAGUUCGGCCCGGUAGUCCAUCCUAAGGCGCGUCUUGGCCCCCCGUCUCGCGCGGGUCGUCGAGUCGAGGCUUUCCGCGCUUCCAUAAUCCUAUAUGUUAAAAGAAUCUCUUGAUUUUCUUUAUAUUUAUUUAUUCUCAUACUCUCUCGGUGGUAAAAUUGAUUUCCCUACCGC
rnacentral:rRNA from 1 species